CCAGAGCUGACAGGAGGCCCUGGGCUGCAGGGGAGGGGCGGCUCCGGCGCUGCAGCCGCAAACAGAGCCGAGUCAAGCUGAGUCAAGCGGAGGAGCUGCUGACUACCUUGUAUACGGUACAAAAACAGUCAAAUAAAGAAAAAGAUGUGUCCAAACUUAUGACUGGUGGGUUGCCAGGACCGGUGGACAUUUGCCAGGCCCUGGAGAGGGAACGUGGAACCCCCACCUGUCCUCCUGAGCACCUGUACAUUCCCACGGGAAUAAGGGAUCAGCUGCUGACCUGGGCACACACAGCUGUGAUUGCUGGACAUUCACUAUUCAAAAUAUCUCCGAAAAGUACUGGUGGCCCACCUUGACGCAGGACGUGACUCGCUACAUCAACUCUUGUUACGUCGCUGAGGCACUGUUCCAGCAGGUCUUUUGGCACUAUGGCUUUCCAGAGGACAUCGUCUCCGACCGUGGCCCCCAAUUCACGUCACGGGUAUCCAAAUAUCAUCCGAGAUAUCCACCUUCGCCUGUACUGUCACGUCAACCACCGGUCCUGGCAACCCAUCAUUACGCACACCUGGCAACCCUAAUUACACACACUUGUGCCCCAUCAUGAGGCACACCUGGACUCUAUCAUUACCCUGAUCACUCCCCCUGUAUCUAGCAGUCCCUAGCAUCACUCUUCAAGAAGUAUUGGUCUGUGUCCAGACGUUUAUUUUGUAUUGCUUUAUGUUCAUUAUUAAUCUCAGCACCUGCUUCCUGACUCCCAGCGCCAUCGUGACAGUAGUGACUGGGUGUAUUGAUACUCCAUACAAAGUGUAAUUAAUACAUUCACCAUGCUCAAAAGGAUGUUAUAUGUCUGCUU